rnacentral:rRNA from 1 species
CGAACGGGUGAGUAAUGUAUCGGAACGUGCCCAGUUGUGGGGGAUAACUGCUCGAAAGAGCAGCUAAUACCGCAUACGACCUGAGGGUGAAAGCGGGGGAUCGCAAGACCUCGCGCAAUUGGAGCGGCCGAUAUCAGAUUAGGUAGUUGGUGGGGUAAAGGCUCACCAAGCCGACGAUCUGUAGCUGGUCUGAGAGGACGACCAGCCACACUGGGACUGAGACACGGCCCAGACUCCUACGGGAGGCAGCAGUGGGGAAUUUUGGACAAUGGGCGCAAGCCUGAUCCAGCCAUGCCGCGUGCGGGAAGAAGGCCUUCGGGUUGUAAACCGCUUUU